rnacentral:rRNA from 1 species
GGGUUGUGAGGUUAAGCGACUAAGCGUACACGGUGGAUGCCCUGGCAGUCAGAGGCGAUGAAGGACGUGCUAAUCUGCGAUAAGCGUCGGUAAGGUGAUAUGAACCGUUAUAACCGGCGAUUUCCGAAUGGGGAAACCCAGUGUGAUUCGUCACACUAUCAUUAACUGAAUCCAUAGGUUAAUGAGGCGAACCGGGGGAACUGAAACAUCUAAGUACCCCGAGGAAAAGAAAUCAACCGAGAUUCCCCCAGUAGCGGCGAGCGAACGGGGAGGAGCCCAGAGCCUGAAUCAGUGUGUGUGUUAGUGGAAGCGUCUGGAAAGGCGCGCGAUACAGGGUGACAGCCCCGUACACAAAAAUACACAUAUUGUGAGCUCGAUGAGUAGGGCGGGACACGUGGUAUCCUGUCUGAAUAUGGGGGGACCAUCCUCCAAGGCUAAAUACUCCUGACUGACCGAUAGUGAACCAGUACCGUGAGGGAAAGGCGAAAAGAACCCCGGCGAGGGGAGUGAAAAAGAACCUGAAACCGUGUACGUACAAGCAGUGGGAGCACGCUUAGGCGUGUGACUGCGUACCUUUUGUAUAAUGGGUCAGCGACUUAUAUUCUGUAGCAAGGUUAACCGAAUAGGGGAGCCGAAGGGAAACCGAGUCUUAACUGGGCGUUAAGUUGCAGGGUAUAGACCCGAAACCCGGUGAUCUAGCCAUGGGCAGGUUGAAGGUUGGGUAACACUAACUGGAGGACCGAACCGACUAAUGUUGAAAAAUUAGCGGAUGACUUGUGGCUGGGGGUGAAAGGCCAAUCAAACCGGGAGAUAGCUGGUUCUCCCCGAAAGCUAUUUAGGUAGCGCCUCGUGAAUUCAUCUCCGGGGGUAGAGCACUGUUUCGGCAAGGGGGUCAUCCCGACUUACCAACCCGAUGCAAACUGCGAAUACCGGAGAAUGUUAUCACGGGAGACACACGGCGGGUGCUAACGUCCGUCGUGAAGAGGGAAACAACCCAGACCGCCAGCUAAGGUCCCAAAGUCAUGGUUAAGUGGGAAACGAUGUGGGAAGGCCCAGACAGCCAGGAUGUUGGCUUAGAAGCAGCCAUCAUUUAAAGAAAGCGUAAUAGCUCACUGGUCGAGUCGGCCUGCGCGGAAGAUGUAACGGGGCUAAACCAUGCACCGAAGCUGCGGCAGCGACGCUUAUGCGUUGUUGGGUAGGGGAGCGUUCUGUAAGCCUGCGAAGGUGUGCUGUGAGGCAUGCUGGAGGUAUCAGAAGUGCGAAUGCUGACAUAAGUAACGAUAAAGCGGGUGAAAAGCCCGCUCGCCGGAAGACCAAGGGUUCCUGUCCAACGUUAAUCGGGGCAGGGUGAGUCGACCCCUAAGGCGAGGCCGAAAGGCGUAGUCGAUGGGAAACAGGUUAAUAUUCCUGUACUUGGUGUUACUGCGAAGGGGGGACGGAGAAGGCUAUGUUGGCCGGGCGACGGUUGUCCCGGUUUAAGCGUGUAGGCUGGUUUUCCAGGCAAAUCCGGAAAAUCAAGGCUGAGGCGUGAUGACGAGGCACUACGGUGCUGAAGCAACAAAUGCCCUGCUUCCAGGAAAAGCCUCUAAGCAUCAGGUAACAUCAAAUCGUACCCCAAACCGACACAGGUGGUCAGGUAGAGAAUACCAAGGCGCUUGAGAGAACUCGGGUGAAGGAACUAGGCAAAAUGGUGCCGUAACUUCGGGAGAAGGCACGCUGAUAUGUAGGUGAAGUCCCUUGCGGAUGGAGCUGAAAUCAGUCGAAGAUACCAGCUGGCUGCAACUGUUUAUUAAAAACACAGCACUGUGCAAACACGAAAGUGGACGUAUACGGUGUGACGCCUGCCCGGUGCCGGAAGGUUAAUUGAUGGGGUCAGCGCAAGCGAAGCUCUUGAUCGAAGCCCCGGUAAACGGCGGCCGUAACUAUAACGGUCCUAAGGUAGCGAAAUUCCUUGUCGGGUAAGUUCCGACCUGCACGAAUGGCGUAAUGAUGGCCAGGCUGUCUCCACCCGAGACUCAGUGAAAUUGAACUCGCUGUGAAGAUGCAGUGUACCCGCGGCAAGACGGAAAGACCCCGUGAACCUUUACUAUAGCUUGACACUGAACAUUGAGCCUUGAUGUGUAGGAUAGGUGGGAGGCUUUGAAGUGUGGACGCCAGUCUGCAUGGAGCCGGCCUUGAAAUACCACCCUUUAAUGUUUGAUGUUCUAACGUGGACCCGUGAUCCGGGUUGCGGACAGUGUCUGGUGGGUAGUUUGACUGGGGCGGUCUCCUCCUAAAGAGUAACGGAGGAGCACGAAGGUUGGCUAAUCCUGGUCGGACAUCAGGAGGUUAGUGCAAUGGCAUAAGCCAGCUUGACUGCGAGCGUGACGGCGCGAGCAGGUGCGAAAGCAGGUCAUAGUGAUCCGGUGGUUCUGAAUGGAAGGGCCAUCGCUCAACGGAUAAAAGGUACUCCGGGGAUAACAGGCUGAUACCGCCCAAGAGUUCAUAUCGACGGCGGUGUUUGGCACCUCGAUGUCGGCUCAUCACAUCCUGGGGCUGAAGUAGGUCCCAAGGGUAUGGCUGUUCGCCAUUUAAAGUGGUACGCGAGCUGGGUUUAGAACGUCGUGAGACAGUUCGGUCCCUAUCUGCCGUGGGCGCUGGAGAACUGAGGGGGGCUGCUCCUAGUACGAGAGGACCGGAGUGGACGCAUCACUGGUGUUCGGGUUGUCAUGCCAAUGGCACUGCCCGGUAGCUAAAUGCGGAAGAGAUAAGUGCUGAAAGCAUCUAAGCACGAAACUUGCCCCGAGAUGAGUUCUCCCUGACCCUUUAAGGGUCCUGAAGGAACGUUGAAGACGACGACGUUGAUAGGCCGGGUGUGUAAGCGCAGCGAUGCGUUGAGCUAACCGGUACUAAUGAACCGUGAGGCUUAACCUUACAACGCCGAAG